rnacentral:snRNA from 1 species
AUACUUACGUGGUGCUGGGGCCUCGUUGAUCCCCGAGGAUGAGCCCCCAGGGCGAGGGGCGGACAUUGCACUGCGCUCGCGUUGACCCCUGCCACUACCCUGAACUCGGGCAGAUGAGGCAUGCAAAUUGCUGAAAUUCGGUUAAGUGCAAGAGAGGGCGCCACCGC